rnacentral:rRNA from 1 species
AUUGAACGCUGGCGGCAGGCUUAACACAUGCAAGUCGAGCGAGCGGCGGACGGGUGAGUAAUGUCUGGGAAACUGCCUGAUGGCGGGGGAUAACUACUGGAAACGGUAGCUAAUACCGCAUACUAUCAGAUGUGCCCAGAUGGGCUGCGCUAGUAGGUGGGGUAAUGGCUCACCUAGGAGACGAUCCCUCGCUGGUCUGAGAGGAUGCCCAGCCACCCUGGAACUGAGACACGUGCCAGACUCCUAAGGUAGUCAGGAGUGUGGAAUAUUGCACAAUUGGCGAAAGCCUGAUGCAGCUAUGCCGCGUGUGUGAAGAAGGCCUUCGGGUUGUAAAGCACUUUCAGCGAGGAGGCGUUACUCGCAGAAGAAGCACCGGCUAACUCCGUGCCAGCAGCCGCGGUAAUUC